UGCCAGACUCCUACGGGAGGCAGCAGUGAGGAAUAUUGGUCAAUGGGCGGAAGCCUGAACCAGCCAAGUCGCGUGAGGGAAUAAGGCCCUACGGGUCGUAAACCUCUUUUGCCGGGGAGCAAGGGCGGGGACGUGUCCCGGCCCGGAGAGUACCCGGAGAAAAAGCAUCGGCUAACUCCGUGCCAGCAGCCGCGGUAAUACGGAGGAUGCGAGCGUUAUCCGGAUUUACUGGGUUUAAAGGGUGCGUAGGCGGGCUUUUAAGUCAGCGGUAAAAUUGGGGGGCCCAACCCCGGCGAGCCGUUGAAACUGGCAGACUUGAGUUGGCGAGAAGUACGCGGAAUGCGCGGUGUAGCGGUGAAAUGCAUAGAUAUCACGCAGAACUCCGAUUGCGAAGGCAGCAUACCGGCGCCCGACUGACGCUGAGGCACGAAAGCGUGGGUAUCGAACAGGAUUAGAUACCCCUGUA
rnacentral:rRNA from 1 species